AACGAACGCUGGCGGCAUGCCUAACACAUGCGGGUCGAACGAGACCUUCGGGUCUAGUGGCGCACGGGUGCGUAACGCGUGGGAACCUGCCCUUAGGUUCGGAAUAACUCCCCGAAAGGGGUGCUAAUACCGGAUAAUGUCUUCGGACCAAAGAUUUAUCGCCUUUGGAUGGGCCCGCGUUGGAUUAGCUAGUUGGUAGGGUAAAAGCCUACCAAGGCGACGAUCCAUAGCUGGUCUGAGAGGAUGAUCAGCCACACUGGGACUGAGACACGGCCCAGACUCCUACGGGAGGCAGCAGUGGGGAAUAUUGGACAAUGGGCGAAAGCCUGAUCCAGCAAUGCCGCGUGAGUGAUGAAGGCCUUAGGGUUGUAAAGCUCUUUUACCCGGGAUGAUAAUGACAGUACCGGGAGAAUAAGCUCCGGCUAACUCCGUG
rnacentral:rRNA from 1 species